AGGCACUGGUAUGCAUCAGUACGGCGAGUGAAGCGGCAAGAGCUCAAAUUUGAAAGCUGGCUCCUUCGGGGUCCGCAUUGUAAUUUGCAGAGGAUGCUUCGGGAGCGGCCCCCAUCUAAGUGCCCUGGAACGGGCCGUCAUAGAGGGUGAAAAUCCCGUCUGGGAUGGGGUGUCCGCGCCCGUGUGAAGCUCCUUCGACGAGUCGAGUUGUUUGGGAAUGCAGCUCUAAAUGGGUGGUAAAUUUCAUCUAAAGCUAAAUAUUGGCCGGAGACCGAUAGCGCACAAGUAGAGUGAUCGAAAGAUGAAAAGCACUUUGAAAAGAGAGUUAAACAGCACGUGAAAUUGUUGAAAGGGAAGCGCUUGCGACCAGACUCGCCCACGGGGUUCAGCCGGCAUUCGUGCCGGUGUACUUCCCCGCGGGCGGGCCAGCGUCGGUUUGGGCGGCCGGUCAAAGGCCCUCGGAAUGUAACGCCCCCCGGGGCGUCUUAUAGCCGAGGGUGCCAUGCGGCCAGCCCAGACCGAGGAACGCGCUUCGGCUCGGACGCUGGCAUAAUGGUCGUAAGCGACCCGUCUUGAAAACCGGGACCAAA
rnacentral:rRNA from 1 species